UGUGUAACGAGCUCAGAAUUAAGUUUCAUAUCAAUGUCCAUCAUAUCACAGAGGUGGAAGACAAACAUUCUGGUAUCUGAAGGGUAAGAGUCAAACCGGGUAUGGACGCCAAAUGUUGUAAAUCCAAUUCCCCUUAAUUGUGAGAGAACCUCCAUCUGCAUAACUUAUUCUCGUUAUCUACAUCACAACGUUUAUUUGUCUCGCCAUACGGUUCUAGUUAGAUAAAUAUGACAUUAUUCAUCAUUAAUUAUUCAUCACACUUUAACUGGGUAUAGCCCGGGGUCUCAGUUGGAUUGACGCGGCCACGUUACCUGUUGAAAUAAUGAGCCUUGCGAUCGUACCAAGACUGCUUCCUGACACUGUUUGCUAUUUGCAUACAGGUAUCUUAUAUUUGAUCAACAGUUUGUCACUCGCUGUCACUAAACUCAGGGGAGAAACAGAUAUUGUUUCAAUCGAUUUGGCUAAUAAUGUCGUUCAAUAUUGGUGUACAUAUUACCCGUAAACGUAAGAUACAAUCUAACUCGAAAGCGAUACAAGAGAGAAAGGUGGGAGGACUUUGGAAGGUGUAGCCCCGUAUAGGGAGCUUUCAUCCGUCCACGUAGUCGGAUAUAUGUAGCUGUUCACACUGCCUGGUUAGGAGGCUGCCUGACAUCCUACUUCCCCUUGUAUAUACAUACGUUCCAUGUCGUGUGACAUAUGUAGAUGUCUUAUGUUCAUACUGCCUGUUAUAUGAGAUGUGCAACGCUCAGGUAGACUGGUAUAUAGGUAUGGGGUAGACGCUUAGGUAGACUGGUAUAUAGGUAUGGGGUAGACGCUCAGGUAGACUGGUAUAUAGGUAUGGGGUAGACGCUCAGGUAGACUGGUAUAUAGGUAUGGGGUAGACGCUCAGGUAGACUGGUAUAUAGGUAUGGGGUAGACGCUCAGGUAGACUGGUAUAUAGGUAUGGGGUAGACGCUCAGGUAGACUGGUAUAUAGGUAUGGGGUAGACGCUCAGGUAGACUGGUAUAUAGGUAUGGG